rnacentral:rRNA from 1 species
AUGGACAGUGGCGGUUCAUCCGGUGGAAACAAUCAAGGCAAGAAAAAGAGCAAGAAACGUGUGCUGACCGCUGAAGAGCUGGAAAACCGGCGGCUUGAGAACGUGCAACCUACCUCUUGGGACGAUGAGUGGAUUGUAACACUGAACAUCACAGAUAACGUGGUGGAGGAUGAAGACACUAGUAGCAUGGUGAGCACUUUCUCGACAGACAGCCCCUUCUCGAUAGACCCCGAGGAGGAGACUGACAAGGAGGAGGCUGACAAUGAAGAGGAGGAGGAGGAGGGGGAUGAAGAGGAGGCUGACAAUGAGGAUGAGGAGGAGGAGGAUGAAGAGGGGCUGACAAUGAGGAUGAGGAGUAGGAGGAGGAGGCUGACGGAAACGGUGACGGUGACAAGAAAAAGGAGGAUCAGACUGACGACGAUGAUGGCGAUCAGACUGACAAUGGCAAUGGCGAGGACCUCAGCUAACUCCAAGUUGUGCUUAAGACAUGGUAGAUGA